UGGGGAAUAUUGCGCAAUGGGGGAAACCCUGACGCAGCAACGCCGCGUGAAGGAUGAAGGUUUUCGGAUUGUAAACUUCUUUAGUCGGGGACGAAACAUGACGGUACCCGAAGAAUAAGCCACGGCUAACUACGUGCCAGCAGCCGCGGUAAUACGUAGGUGGCAAGCGUUGUCCGGAAUUACUGGGUGUAAAGGGCGUGUAGGCGGGGAUGCAAGUCAGAUGUGAAAUUCCGAGGCUCAACCUCGGCGCUGCAUCUGAAACUGUAUCUCUUGAGUGCUGGAGAGGAAAGCGGAAUUCCUAGUGUAGCGGUGAAAUGCGUAGAUAUUAGGAGGAACACCAGUGGCGAAGGCGGCUUUCUGGACAGUAACUGACGCUGAGGCGCGAAAGCGUGGGGAGCAA
rnacentral:rRNA from 1 species